rnacentral:tRNA from 14 species
GCGCAUUCGUAAUGCGUAGGUCGUAGGUUCAAAUCCUAUCAUCAGC